UUCCGGUUGAUCCUGCCAGAGGCCACUGCUAUCGGAGUUCGAUUAAGCCAUGCGAGUCGAGAGGGGAAAGCCCUCGGCAUACUGCUCAGUAACACGUGGAUAACCUGCCCUGCGGUGGGAAAUAACCCCGGGAAACUGGGGAUAAUGUCCCAUAGACUACGGAUACUGGAAUGUUCUGUAGUUCAAAGAUUUAUCGCCACAGGAUGGGUCUGCGGCCGAUUAGGUAGUUGUUGGGGUAACGGCCCAACAAGCCUUUGAUCGGUACGGGUUGUGGGAGCAAGAGCCCGGAGAUGGAUUCUGAGACACGAAUCCAGGCCCUACGGGGCGCAGCAGGCGCGAAAACUAUACAAUGCGGGAAACCGUGAUAAGGGAACUCCGAGUGUCCGUAAAUGCGGACUGUCCGUAUGUUUAAAAAGCAUGCGAAGAAAGGGCCGGGCAAGACCGGUGCCAGCCGCCGCGGUAAUACCGGCGGCUCGAGUGGUGGCCACUAUUAUUGGGCUUAAAGCGUUCGUAGCUGGGUUGUUAAGUUUCUUGGGAAAUCUACCGGCUUAACCGAUAGGCGUCCAAGGGAUACUGGCAAUCUAGGGACCGGGAGAGGUGAGGGGUACUUCAGGGGUAGGAGUGAAAUCCUGUAAUCCUUGGGGGACCACCUGUGGCGAAGGCGCCUCACCAGAACGGCCCCGACAGUGAGGGACGAAAGCUGGGGGAGCAAACCGGAUUAGAUACCCGGGUAGUCCCAGCCGUAAACGAUGCGCGUUAGGUGUAUCGAUGACCACGAGUCAUCGAGGUGCCGAAGGGAAACCGUGAAACGCGCCGCCUGGGAAGUACGGUCGCAAGGCUGAAACUUAAAGGAAUUGGCGGG
rnacentral:rRNA from 1 species